GAGAGGGAAGAAGAUGGAGGAGGCAGGCAAUAAAUGGGGGUAGAGGUGUAGAAGUUGCACCCUUCAAGGCACACACACAACAUGGUCAUUUGAAUGAGACCUACUCUCCCCUCACCCCCUUCAAUUCGGUUCAGAGGCUGCUCCUGUCCUUAUCUCCAUUUUGCUUUCUCCUCCCCUCCCCUCUCUGGUGUGCAGACUGCAGCGGUUCAAGAUCGAACAGGUCUUGCUGGUAUGGUCUCUUUUCUUGUUUCUUGCUUACUCUGUAUGAUGAUUUCUUGAAGUUUUCCUGGCCCAUCUGGUGCUGGAGAUUGGAGAUUUGCUGCAUAAUCAUUGGUCCAUUACUAGUUGUUUGUUUGAGGCUCCCUUAAUUGGGGAUUCAGAAGUUCUGGUUGUGCUAUUUCCUCUUGCAAUUUGUUGGGUUGGUUUUUCUUGAUGCCAUUUCCCUCAAAUCCUUCCAUGCCUGGAGUUCUUGAGGGGUAAUUCAUGGCAGUUUCAGCCUCUCUUCUAUCCCCCCCCCCCCCCACCCACACACACACCAAAUGAUCUGUUGUAUGUAACAGAGAGUAGUAGUUCAUUUAGUUUUCUGGUUUCUUUCUUGCAUUCCUUUUACAAUCAAAUUGUCAGCUUCUGUUCUCUAAUCCAUGCUUCUUCUGGGCAUUGACCUGAAAGAUUGUGGUUGUAAGCAUUAAAUCUGCAUCUCAAAAACUGUAUGUUGUCCUACAUGCAGGAGUGGGAAUGUAAGCUAUUGUUUAGUGCUGCUCAUUUUGUUGCCUCUUCUCAAGAAAAUCUGUAACAAUUUUGUGGCCUAGCUCUUGUUUCUUUCAUCCCUGUAUUUGAUAAGGAGUUUGGUAAUGCCACAUGAUUUGGUGCCGCAGUUGAUUUAUUCAUUAUAUUAAUAACCUAAGGAAUCCAAGACCAUUAGGAUACAUAUAAAAAAAUUGCAAAGAAACAGGGGACAGAAGGGAGUAGGUUCUUUUCUUUGCCCAGUUGGCAUCCCCUGAAGUGAUGCUUCCUUGCAUUUGAUUAUUUCUUGCUGCUGUUGGUGGUAAACAUUAUUAUUAGUACUAACUUUUUUAGUCUGAAAGAAGAAAAGAAGGAACAAGACAAUGUGGCCAACAUAUGUGGUCUAGAAAGUUGGCAUCAGUAGUGUGUAGAACUGUAGAUGCAACGAGGAAAUUAAGGCAGAAAAGAAGGGACAGAAAAGGGGCCAAAAGGGUAGCUUGAGCAUAGUGCAAGUCCACAACUUAAAAUUGCUGGUCAAUUUGUCCUUAAAAUCGUUGAUAUCACACAGAUGGCAUAUCGUUUUCGACAUUGCCUUCCAUAACUCCUGUAAAUACUUGGACCACAACUUUAGAACAUCUUGUUGAGAUUUCUUAAUCCCUGUGUUAUAUGCCAUCAUUGCAUUGAUUGUAGUAUUAUGAUGACAGAAUUGGAUAUUUACCAUCCAAAGAGUGUCAACCGAAGAAUUGAUCUAUUUUAUUGGCUUCUGUUCAUCGGAUUUCUAUUUUCAGUAUCUCGAUACUUAGCACUACCAUAAGUUCAAUGUUAUGUGUUCUUGCAGAAAAGUUCAGUUUUUGUGCUGUAUCCGACCGGUUCCAUUCUUAAUUAGAUUUAUGGAUGGAAGUUUUAUAGUGUACCCUUAACAAGACCAAUGGUAGAAUUUGUUGAGCAAAUAGCACAACACUCCUGAAUUUGGAAAAUUAAAUAGUCAUGUUUGUUGUUUGGAUGUCAUAAAAUUUGAAUUAGGAGAACAUAUUAGUUGGUUUCGCUGUGUGGACAUCACAAUUUAUUGGAUUAGGAGAGCAAAUUGCUUCUGUUUAUUAUGAUAUCAUAACUUCUUGAACCAGGAUUUUUUUCUUCAUGAAUUAGGAAUACAUACAGGUUGAUGCCAUGUUACCAUGGUGGUUGGGUCAUUGCAGUCUUGUCUUUGCCCCAUUGUUUUCCCAACCUGCAAUCAUGGAGGCAAAGUGCAUGCCAUGAUGCACCUCUCAUAUACCACCAUCUUGCAUGCUGAAAAACAUCAUGAUUUUUGUUCUUGUUGUCAGGCAACUUUUUUAUCCUGAACUUUCUUUAACCCUUGCAGUGCACUUCUAGCUACCUUUAGCUUCAGUCCUCUUUGUCAGUAAAAAUUUCAUUCCAAGCUGCUGCUGCUGCUUCUUCAGUUGUGAUAAAAAUUUCAUCUUUGUGAUAAGCAGAUCAUGCCCUGCGCUGCCGAGCUCGCCAAUGGCGAGGCGGCAGCAGGCGCGGUGCAGGGCG
rnacentral:lncRNA from 1 species